AAAAGUUGUAAUUAUCUAAUUUGAAAUAUCUUUGUAAUUAUCUAAACAAAAGGCUAUGAUUUCAUAUAAAGUUUUAAUAAUAUUAACUUUUACAAUUAAUAUAAGCCACUGUAAUUAUUCUAAAGAGCAAAUCCAAAAAGAAUGCGAUAUAUGCUAUGACAAUUUAAAAUUAGUUGG